rnacentral:tRNA from 1 species
GAGAGAUGGCCGAGCGGUUUAAGGCGACGGUCUUGAAAACCGUUGAUGACAAAAUCAUCCGGGGGUUCGAAUCCCUCUCUCUCC